AAUGAACGCUGGCGGCAGGCCUAACACAUGCAAGUCGAACGGAUCCUUCGGGAUUAGUGGCGGACGGGUGAGUAACGCGUGGGAACAUACCCAAAGGUACGGAAUAGCCUCGGGAAACUGGGAGUAAUACCGUAUGUGCUCGAAAGAGGAAAGAUUUAUCGCCUUUGGAUUGGCCCGCGUUGGAGUAGGUAGUUGGUGGGGGAAGGGCCUACCAAGCCGACGAUCCAUAGCUGGUUUGAGAGGAUGAUCAGCCACACUGGGACGGAGACACGGCCCAGACUCCUACGGGAGGCAGCAGUGGGUAAUCUUAGACAAUGGGGGAAACCCUGAUCUAGCCAUGCCGCGUGAUCGAUGAAGGCCUUAGGGUUGUAAAGAUCUUUCAGGUGGGAAGAUAAUGACUGUACCACCAGAAGAAGCCCCGGCUAACUCCGUGCCAGCCGCCGCGGUAA
rnacentral:rRNA from 1 species